GUUAAUUGGGACCUCAAUUGUUUGUCACCACAUAACCAAUAGAUAUCCCCGAUUGUCUUUGUGUGGUUCAUUAGCAGUGAUGCAGGUGGAUUAUGGUAAGUUGAGCAGUAUCCUGAUGGGAAUUUGCCCAGAUACAACCCAGUGUUCUUAGGUAUUGAAUAGCAUGUGUAAUUACCUGGGUAGAUGGUGACUCCAUCAGGUGGUUUCACAUGUCCAUGGGUGAUUGGGUAAACUUUCUUCCAAGAUUCACAUGUUGAGGAGUUAGUGGUGGAUUGUGCAUACAAACUUAGUACACAUAAUUCUAUUUCAGGAGGUAAACUCAGAGGUACUGUACCCAGAUGGGGUCUGGCACCUCCACAUACAUAACAGUUAG